UUAAGAAUCCGUAUCUUCGAGUGCCCACACAGAUUGUCUGAUAAAUUGUUAAAGAGCAGUUGCGACGCGGCUUUCAGCUCACUGUCGCGAGGUGGCGUAUAUUACGCUUUCCUCUUUCAGAGUCAACCCUGAAUUUCAGGAUUUUUCUCUUCAACCGAACCGGCUGUUUGUGUGAAGUGAUUCACAUCCGCCGUGUCGAUGGAGGCGCAUUAUAGGGAGUUCUCCGCAGGCCGCAAUAGAAAAAUUGCAGAAAAAUGACUGACUGCUGCAUUCCCCAGCAAAACCCCGCUUUAUACCUUUUUACGCACAGAGUUAUCCACAAUCAUCAAUGUAAUUUCUGUAUUUUUCCCACGGUAAACACUGUCAAAAUUGAGAUCACCAUUGAAAGAGAAAAAUUCGCGAGCGUUGCGCAAACGUUUUCGUUACAAUG
rnacentral:rRNA from 1 species